GGAGGAUCACUUGAGCCUGGGUGGUUGAGACUGCAGUGAGCUGUGACCAUACCACUGCACUCCAGCCUGAGUGACAGAGCAAGACCCUGUCUC
rnacentral:miRNA from 1 species